AGGAGAAGAAGGGAAGGAGGAGAGAAGCAGGGGGGCCUGUUGGGCCACGGGGGCCUCCGGCAUGGCAUUCGUGUGGAUAUUAGAGCGAUUGUCGUGCCUGAUUCGGUACGGUCUUGAAAUAAGGCCCCCGCGGGCUGACAGCGGCGAGGGCUCCUCGUACAAAACCGGCUAACGGUGCCCACCCUCCGACUCUUCUGCACGAGGGGCCCCACCGUCGACUCCUCUCCAACGCCUUCCAGUACCCUAAUCUUCCUCUCGAGCUUCUCCAACCACUCUCCCCUCCUCCUCCUCUUCCUCCUUCUGCUCCUCCUUUUCUUCUCCUCCUCUCCUCCUCCUUCUUCGACCUCUUUCCUGCCACCUAUUUCUGGGUUCCGUCGCGGGACGGACGCACACGCGAUCUUCUAAUCGCGCGAGAAUUCGUACUCUCUCGCAUUUCCUGGAUUUCGUUCCAAGUUUUGCUUCGGUUGGAGGGAAGACGUGAAACCGUGACGUUGGUCGGCGAGACGACGGGUCGAAGCCGAGGGGUCGGUUCAUUCGGAGGAGAGGAUGGAGAAUAAGGAUGGAAGAGGCAGCUCCUUCCGCGAUUCAAAGUCCUCCCCCGGAGGUCUGGCGUUGUUUCGUCUCUCUCUCCCUCUCCCUCUCUCUCUCCCCCCUCUCUCUUUCUCUCUCCCUCUCUCCAUCCAGACCGUGGUCCGUAUCAUCCUCGGGGCCGACGUACCGGUCGGCAUCGUGUGAAGUCCGGCCGAGCCAUUAUAUCCCCCUUGGCCGCCUUCGAGGUGUAUAUACCGUCGAGGUAUCUUCGGUCACUGCGAGAAGCGUGAGGAGGGGAAGGGUGAGGGAGGGAGGGAGAAGGGGUGUACGAGACGAUUCUGGGUGCACGGAGGGGGAGGAGACGCGAUUCGCCUCUCUUUCAUCCAUCGUUCGCCUUCCUCGCGUCUUCGUCUUCUUCCCCCUUUUCCUUCGUGUUCGAACGUAGUUCUGAAACACAGAAAGAAACGAUCGUAAGGGAGGAGAAGGAGGGAGAGAGGUG